UACAGAGGUCCCGAGCGUUGUUCGGAUUCAUUGGGCGUAAAGGGUGCGUAGGCGGUCGGGUAAGUCUGAUGUGAAAUCUCACAGCUUAACUGUGAAACUGCAUUGGAUACUAUCCGGCUAGAGGAAUGGAGGGGAGACUGGAAUACUUGGUGUAGCAGUGAAAUGCGUAGAUAUCAAGUGGAACACCAGUGGCGAAGGCGAGUCUCUGGACAUUUCCUGACGCUGAGGCACGAAAGCCAGGGGAGCAAACGGG
rnacentral:rRNA from 1 species